rnacentral:rRNA from 1 species
AUUGAACGCUGGCGGCAGGCCUAACACAUGCAAGUCGAGCGGAGCGGCGGUCGGGUGAGUAAUGCCUAGGAAUCUGCCUGGUCGCGGGGGAUAACGUCCGGAAACGGGCGCUAAUACCGCAUACUCUCAGAUGAGCCUAGGCCGGAUUAGCUAGGUGGUGGGGUAAAGGUAAACCAAGGCGACGAUCCGUAACUGGUCUGAGAGGAUGAUCAGCCACACUGGAACUGAGACACGGUCCAGACUCCUACGGGAGGCAGCAGUGGGGAAUAUUGGACAAUGGGCGAAAGCCUGAUCCAGCCAUGCCGCGUGUAUGAAGAAGGUCUUCGGAUUGUAAAGCACUUUAAGUUGGGAGGCGUUACCAACAGAAGAAGCACCGGCUAACUUCGUGCCAGCAGCCGCGGUAAUUC